CUAAUACAUGCAAGUCGAACGAACCGCGACUNAGUGCUUGCACUANGUCAAGGUGAGUGGCGAACGGGUGAGUAACACGUGGGUAACCUACCUCAUAGUGGGGGAUAACAGUCGGAAACGACUGCUAAUACCGCAUAGGACAUGGAAUCACAUGAUUCCGUGAGGAAAGGUGGCGCAAGCUAUCGCUAAGAGAUGGACCCGCGGUGCAUUAGCUAGUUGGUAGGGUAACGGCCUACCAAGGCGAUGAUGCAUAGCCGACCUGAGAGGGUGAUCGGCCACAUUGGGACUGAGACACGGCCCAAACUCCUACGGGAGGCAGCAGUAGGGAAUCUUCCGCAAUGGACGCAAGUCUGACGGAGCAACGCCGCGUGAGUGAAGAAGGUCUUCGGAUCGUAAAGCUCUGUUGUUAGAGAAGAACAGCGCAUAGAGUAACUGUUAUGCGUGUG
rnacentral:rRNA from 1 species